UACAGAGGUCUCAAGCGUUGUUCGGAUUCAUUGGGCGUAAAGGGUGCGUAGGCGGCGCGGUAAGUCGGGUGUGAAAUCUCGGGGCUUAACAAGGAAGUGCAUCCGAAACUGCAGUGCUUGAGUACUUAAGAGGAUCGCGGAAUUCCCGGUGUAGAGGUGAAAUUCGUAGAUAUCGGGAGGAACACCAGUGGCGAAGGCGGCGAUCUGGGAAGAUACUGACGCUGAGGUGCGAAAGCGUGGGGAGCAAACAGG
rnacentral:rRNA from 1 species